ensembl:snRNA U6 U6 spliceosomal RNA
GUGUUUGCUUUGGUAACAGAUACACUAACAUUGAAUAAAAACAAUACAAAGAUUAGCAUGGCCCCUGAACAAGGAGGAUAUGCCAAUUUGUGAAAUGUGCCGUAUUUUA